rnacentral:rRNA from 1 species
GUAGCGGCGAGUGAAGCGGCAAGAGCUCAGAUUUGAAAUCGUGUUUCGGCACGAGUUGUAGAGUGUAGGCGGGAGUCUCUGUGGAGCGCGGUGUCCAAGUCCCUUGGAACAGGGUGCCUGAGAGGGUGAGAGCCCCGUAGGGUGCUGCGCGAAGCUUUUGAGGCCCUGCUGACGAGUCGAGUUGUUUGGGAAUGCAGCUCCAAGCGGGUGGUAAAUUCCAUCUAAGGCUAAAUAUUGGCGAGAGACCGAUAGCGAACAAGUACUGUGAAGGAAAGAUGAAAAGCACUUUGAAAAGAGAGUGAAACAGCACGUGAAAUUGUUGAAAGGGAAGGGUAUUGGGCUCGACAUGGGGGGUGCGCACCGCUGUCUCUUGUAGGCGGCGCUCUGGGCGCCCUCUGGGCCAGCAUCGGUUCCUGCUGCGGGAGAAGGGGCUCCGGAAAGUGGCUCUUCGGAGUGUUAUAGCCGGGGCCAGAUGCCGCGUGUGGGGACCGAGGACUGCGGCUUCUGUCUCGGAUGCUGGCAUAACGGCGCAAUACCGCCCGUCUUGAAACAUGGACCAAGGAGUCUAACGUCUAUGCGAGUGUUUGGGUGUAAAACCCGUACGCGUAAUGAAAGUGAACGUAGGUCGGACCGCUCUCGGGCGGGCACGAUCGACCGAUCCUGAUGUUUAUCGGAUGGAUUUGAGUAGGAGCAUAGCUGUUGGGACCCGAAAGAUGGUGAACUAUGCCUGAAUA